rnacentral:rRNA from 1 species
CAGUAGCCGCGGGAAUACGUAUGUCACAAGCGUUAUCCGGAUUUAUUGGGCGUAAAGCGCGUCUAGGUGGUUAUGUAAGUCUGAUGUGAAAAUGCAGGGCUCAACUCUGUAUUGCGUUGGAAACUGUAUAACUAGAGUACUGGAGAGGUAAGCGGAACUACAAGUGUAGAGGUGAAAUUCGUAGAUAUUUGUAGGAAUGCCGAUGGGGAAGCCAGCUUACUGGACAGAUACUGACGCUGAAGCGCGAAAGCGUGGGUAGCAAACAGGAUUAGAUACCCCAGUAGUCCCUGUCCUUAUACAC